rnacentral:lncRNA from 7 species
ACACUUCCCUCUCGACUGCUUUCUAACAGAGCUUAAUGCAAAGGGGGAGGGAAAAGGAAGAAAUUUAAAAAAAAAAAAAAAGAAGAAGAAGAAAAAAAAAGCCAGCCAGCAUGAAAGAACCGGGCUGGCACAAGUCCCUCCAUUGCUUUCGUUCAUUAACUUGAACUAGAGAACUGCAUGAGGACAUUCCAAUUUUAAGAAGGGAUGGAGCUGCACAGAACUGCUUUUGACAGCAAAAAGUUGACUGUUCUACCAACUUCCAUAUCUACAGAUUGCUUCAGAGGAACUGUUGAGCAAAUCCCUUCAUGCAGAUAUCACUGGAGUCUGGAAAAGGGCCAGCAGAACUAACAGAGAAUUUGAAUGGAAGCCAACUGACUUUUUUUAAAAUUUCUAACAUUAAAGGGCAAUAUUUCCCCUUUUUUUACCAUGUCUAUCUGAACUCACUUAAUGCAGUAGGUUUGUGAAAAGGAUCCUUUUGUUUCCAGAGCAGGCACAGUCACUUUUCCCUUGUUUCUCUCCUACAACUCUUGAACAAUUGUAUCAAAAUAUUUUACUAGAAAAACAAUUAUAAUAGGCUACCACAUUCUGUUUCUGUACUAAGCCCUUCACACCAAUAAGGUUUUUGCCACGUAGGAGGGAGAGUUAAUGCCUAUAUGCUCUUCCUACUUGCAAGCAAAGUGAUUUGUUUCAAAGAGAAAAAAAUAGCUCAUUUACUGGUUGGGUUCUUGAAUUGAAUAACUGAAGUUACUAUGAACAUGAGUUACUUUGCAACUAAUUUUAGCAUCUCGUGUCUGAAGUAAGCCACAUGGAAACAGUGACUUAAGAUGGCUGGAAUUUUAGACUCAUGCUGUGAGUUCUGUUGCCAGCGUUGUCUCUUGUAAACAAAAAGCUGAUUAAGAUACGGUGAUGCUCAGAAGGUAUCUUUAACAAAUAUACAGUACUAAUUCUGAAGUUUAGUAAGUAACACUUCAAUAUUAAUGCUAACUAAUCUGACUACCAAAUAUAUCUAUCUGUGUCUGUCUUGUUUUGCCAAUAAAAAUACUGGAGUCUGUAAUUAGUCUGUGAUAUUUUAUUAUU